ACGGGAGGCAGCAGUGAGGAAUAUUGGUCAAUGGGCGAGAGCCUGAACCAGCCAAGUAGCGUGCAGGAUGACGGCCCUAUGGGUUGUAAACUGCUUUUGCCGGGGGAUAAAACAUGCCACGUGUGGCAUCUUGCAGGUACCCGUGUGAAUAAGGACCGGCUAAUUCCGUGCCAGCAGCCGCGGUAAUACGGAAGGUCCGAGCGUUAUCCGGAUUUAUUGGGUUUAAAGGGUGCGUAGGCGGGAUGUCAAGUCAGCCGUAAAAUCGCCGGGCUCAACCCGGUCCCGCGGUUGAAACUGACGUCCUUGAGUACACUAGAGGGCGAUGGAAUUCGUGGUGUAGCGGUGAAAUGCAUAGAUAUCACGAAGAACUCCGAUUGCGUAGGCAGUCGCCUGGGGUGCCACUGACGCUGAGGCACGAAGGUGUGGGUAUCAAACAGGAUUAGAUACCCUGGUA
rnacentral:rRNA from 3 species